rnacentral:rRNA from 1 species
CCUACGGGUGGCAGCAGUCGAGAAUCAUUCACAAUGGGCGAAACCCUGAUGGUGCGACGCCGCGUGGGGGAAUGAGGUUCUUCGGAUUGUAAACCCCUGUCAUGUGGGAGCAAAUUAACAAGAUAGUACCAUAAGAGGCAGAGACGGGUAACUCUGGGCCAGAAGCCGCGGUAAUACAGAGGUCUCACGCGUUGUUCGGAAUCACUGGGGGUAAAGCGUGCGGAGGCUGUUUUGUCAGUCGUGUGUGAAAGGCGCGGGCUCAAACCGCGGACGGCACCUGAUACCGGGAGACUAGAGUAAGAGAGAGGGAAGCGGAAUUCGCGGUGGAGCAGUGAAAUGCGUAGAUAUCGAGAGGAACACCCGUGGCGAAGGCAGGUUCCUGGAUAUAUACUGACGCUGAGGCACGAAGGCGAGGGGAGCGAAAGGGAUUAGAUACCCCAGUAGUC